UACAGAGGGUGCGAGCGUUAAUCGGAAUUACUGGGCGUAAAGCGUGCGUAGACGGUUAUUUAAGUCGGGUGUGAAAGCCCCGGGCUCAACCUGGGAAUUGCAUUCGAGACUGAAUAGCUAGGGUACGGUAGAGGGAAGUGGAAUUUCCGGUGUAGCGGUGAAAUGCGUAGAUAUCGGGAAGAACAUCAGUGGCGAAGGCGGCCUGCUGGGCUGUUGCUGACGCUGAGGCGCGACAGCGUGGGGAGCAACAGG
rnacentral:rRNA from 1 species